CGUCUAUAUACGUAUAGCAUAUCAAUAAGCGGAGGAAAAGAAACUAACUAGGAUUCCCUCAGUAACGGCGAGUGAAGCGGGAAGAGCUCAAAUUUGAAAUCUUCAAGGUUCUACCUUGACGAAUUGUAGUUUAAAGAAGUGUUUUCUGUUGGAGUUUUGGUAAAAGUUCUUUGGAAUAGGACAUCAUAGAGGGUGAGAAUCCCGUAUUUGACCAUUAUUUCCAACUGUGUGAUACAUCUUUCAAAGAGUCGGAUUGUUUGGGAAUGCAGUCCAAAAUGGGUGGUAAAUUUCAUCUAAAGCUAAAUACUGGCGAGAGACCGAUAGCGAACAAGUACCGUGAGGGAAAGAUGAAAAGAACUUUGAAAAGAGAGUUAAACAGUACGUGAAAUUGUCAAAAGGGAAGCGUUUGACACCAGUGUUGUUUUCUCGAAAAUCAAUUAAAAAUGGCAGGAUUUUGUGUCGUAUUGACUUUAUCAGCUUUCUGCACUUUUUUCUUGUCUUUUUUAAUGCACUUUUCGUUUAACAAGUCAACAUCAAUUUCUUUUGUUGUAAAAGAGUCAUUGGAAGGUGGCUUUCUUUUCGGAGAAAGUGUUUAUAGCCUUUGACUUCUGCAAUCGGAGAGAUUGAGGUCUGCAGCGUAGAUCCUUCGGGGUUAGAUAGCAUUUGUGCUAAGCUAUAGCCUUUCAUAGACAACUUGUUGACUAUGAUCAGUCAUGUAGCUUACUCGCUUAUGCUAUUUUACCUACGCUUAGGAUGUUGACGAUCAGCUGAGCGCG
rnacentral:rRNA from 1 species